rnacentral:rRNA from 1 species
UGCAGAGGUCUCAAGCGUUGUUCGGAUUCAUUGGGCGUAAAGGGUGCGUAGGUGGCGCUGUAAGUCGGGUGUGAAAUUUCGGAGCUUAACUCCGAAACUGCAUUCGAUACUGCGGUGCUUGAGGACUGGAGAGGAGACUGGAAUUCAUGGUGUAGCAGUGAAAUGCGUAGAGAUCAUGAGGAAGACCAGUGGCGAAGGCGGGUCUCUGGACAGUUCCUGACGCUGAGGCACGAAGGUCAGGGGAGCAAACGGG